rnacentral:rRNA from 1 species
CUGCAUGGUUGUCGUCCGCUCGUGCCGUGAGGUGUCGGGUUAAGUCCCAUAACGAGCGCAACCCUAUCAUUAGUUGCCAUCAGGUCAAGCUGGGGACUCUAAUGAAACUGCCUACGCAAGUAGUGAGGAAGGUGGGGAUGACGUCAAGUCAUCAUGGCCCUUACGGCCUGGGCUACACACGUGCUACAAUGGUCGGUACAAAGGGUUGCCAAGCCGCGAGGUGGAGCUAAUCCCAUAAAACCGAUCGUAGUCCGGAUCGCAGUCUGCAACUCGACUGCGUGAAGUCGGAAUCGCUAGUAAUCGUGAAUCAGAAUGUCACGGUGAAUACGUUCCCGGGCCUU